UUUCCACAGGAGCAGGGAUGCCUGAGCAGAAGUGGCUGAGUUUCGAGUGACUUUAGGAAAUGCUUCUCCCCUUUCCAGGGCAUGCAAACAGGACUCUGCACCUGCCCCCGGGGUCAGUCCAGAGAGAAGCCUCUGCUUCGCCUGCAGGGAUGAGGAACUAGAGCAAGCAGCAGCAUUUGAAAAUUGCUCUGGACACAAGGGCCAGCAAAUCCAUGAAGGAGACUGAAGGGCAGCUCCAUCUGCAUGUUCAGUGGCAGUCGGGCAGGAGCCGCAGCAAUGAACACAUCUCUGAGGAACUUAAAAAGAGAGAAUAAAAUGAUAAAAGACAUUGCUGUCUUUCACCUGGAGCAUGUCAAAGUCACCUACAUGAGAAGGCAACCACCAAGAGGAGGACAUGGGCAACAAAUGAGAGAGCCUUGGGCUCCAGAAGAUCAAGCAUGAUCCAGUGUGUGGCCUACUUCCAAAAGUACAUGGACAGCAUGAAUUGGAGUCAAUGGGUUAUUAAACCUAAAGCAAUCAACACAAGAGGUCAUGAACUUUGGGAAGGAACCAGCUCACUCUGAGUGUUAUCAUCCCUGGGCAAGCCAAUUUGGGCUGCAUGAGAGAGACAGCUGAACAAGCCAGAAGCAAGUCAGUAAGCAGCAUUCCUCUGUGGUUUAUGAAGUUCCUGCCUCAGCUACCCUAGAUGAUAGACUGUAGCCUGUAAGAGAAAUAAAUCCUUUUC